rnacentral:misc_RNA from 1 species
UGAAGUGGCUUGAUAGAUUAUUNAGCGGGCCUAAAAAUUACAUUUUAGAAUCUAAUGCAUUUGAAAGUAUCUGAUUUACAGACUNCUUUUGGGUGAAGGAGCUGUACUGUNGUUUUCCUCAUUAAUUAUUUAUGAUUUGAUAAUCAUCUCCAAGCUUCUUUUUUGGAAUUACCGAUAGAGGAUUCAGCUGGCCGACAGGUAUUCUUCCCGGUUGUCGUGGCGGCUUUUGUGGUCACAGGAACCAAAACGACGUAUUCAGGGAGUUAUCGUCCACUUCGACUAUCAGAAAAACCUGCUAGUUUAGACCCAGACACUAUGAAUGCAGAGAGACUACUUGGGCAAAUUGCCAUAGUUUGGGCUUUCAUGUCCGUUGUAAUCAGAAGUGAACAAGAAGAUUUUGCUUCGCCUCCUCGAAACAUAACAGCAUCUGCAACAAGUAAAGGCGCUGAAUCCCGUAUUACCUUGAAAUGGUCCGAACCAAAACGCAUUAAUGGAACGAUAACUGGGUACACGAUAGUGUACGGCAGGACCAAUGGACUAUACGGAAACAAAAGUCUUUAUGUUACCUCCUCAGCAAGAAGUGUUACCAUUGAUAAGAUCCGACCAUACCAAUAUUACAGCGUUUACUUAAGAUCGACGACUGAUCUCGGCGAAGGAAAGUGGAGCUCUGCCAUUGACAUUANGACUCCAGCUGGGCAUCCUGUUGGUCCAUGUAAGACCACUAGGGUAUUUUCACCAAGUUCAACAAGCAUCUAUAUUGAAUGGCAACCCUUAGAUCCUGAACUGCGUAACGGGAUUCUAUUAGGCUAUGAAGUCUUCUACGUAGAUGCCACCUCUAGCCUUCAAAGUUACCAAAAAGAGACCGUCUCUGUAGACACAACAAACUUUACGAUUACAGGGCUCAAACCGUACUCUCUGUACAUUGUUGGCACUAUAGGAUUUACAAAAUUAGGGUUUUUUUUCACGCCAAAAGACGUUAUGGAGGCACCAAGAGUACGAACACUAGAAGGGGCACCAAGUAGUCCACCACCAAACCUGACAGCAGCAUUUGUUUGUAAUCGAUACGAGUUAAGAGCGAUGUGGGAUCCUCUUUAUGCCGAGAACAUCAAUGGUAAACUNUUAGGAUACAGGGUAUUGCUUUACCAGGGAAAACUGCUCUACNUGAACUUCACAACGACAACGACNAGUAAUACAAUNACACUNGACGAGUGNAAGAACUACACCGUUAAGGUUGCNGCUUACACUUNACCUGGAGAUGGACCAUUUUCUGCUGAUAACGUGACUAGCAUAUGUCCAUGUGGUGCUCCUGAACCAUUCUACAAANGUCGCUCCAUNGUUACAAAAGAAGGCAAUGCGACAAGGUUACUAUGUGAAUACCAAGGACGACCUGAGCCCACGAUAUACUGGUUGCGUCAUGGACAGCGACUUNACGAUGAAAAUAAAAGUGUAGANAGAUUUANGACACAGUUAGCGAAUGGNACAUGGUACAUNUCCUAUACUGAAAACCAAGAUAGCGGUUUNUACACGUGUGUAUUGAACAACACUUAUGGUGUAGCAACAACUGAUGUGUCACUUACAGUAUCUAAAGAUGUCGCUGUAAUCAAGCUCCAGAUAAAAGUUUCUAAUAAAGAAUAUCAAGAAGAACUGGAAGACAUAACAUCCAAGAUGUCCAGAGAGUUCAUUCUCAAGAUUGAAAGAGCUAUCUUCAAAGUAUUCAAGAAAGAAAAAGAUGUGUUUGUCAGGGUAACCAAGUUCAGAAAUGGUAGUGUGAUAGCCGACUUGAAAAUUUCCAUGGCAAUUGAUGAUCCAGGUUGGAAAUCGUCUGCCCUACAGUCCAUAAAAGAAACCCUCAUUCGUUCGCUAUCGGCAGGCAAGAUGACUGUUGAUGAUAUCUCUAUUGAUAACAUNAUUUUCAAAGAGUCACCGCCUCCUCCCCAAAACGCCAAAGCAAACGUAAUAAACCCAACAGAUAUUCACCUGACAUGGGAUUACCCACAAGACUACGAAGCAUACGCCAUCACUGGGUACAGAAUAUUACACAAGAAAACUGGUAGGAAGGAAUGGAUUAUGGGUAAGAUGCUAUCAGCCAAUCAGAACAUNGGGAAAAUUGAAGAUCUUCACUCUAGCACAAAAUAUGAAAUUAUGGUUGCUGCUUACAAUGAAUNUGGACAAAAAGAAAGUAAUAUAAUAACAGCUGAGACAACAGCUGACAUGACAGCAGNCAUAGCCCUUGGUGUCAUCAUUCCAAUUAUUCUAAUUCUGAUUCUGAUUGGUUUGUGGUUUUGGUGGAGGAAACAGGGACUUCAAAAACGAAAAAUCGAAGAGCAGCUUGCCAUGGAGCAGAGAAAGAGAGAAGAGUUAGAAAAGCAGAAUGCAGCAUUGAUAAGUUUAGAUGCCUUACUUGGAGUUGGUGGUGAAGACAUCGAGAAACACUGGAAGGAAAUUGCUAGAGAAUGUAUAGAGUUCAUNGGAGAACUUGGCUCNGGAGCUUUUGGAGAAGUCAAGAAAGGAAAGCUCAUUGAUGGAGAAGAAAUCACGAUGUGUGCAGUGAAAAUGCUCAAGGCACAAGCCACAGAAGUAGAACUGAGAGACUUGGUUAACGAGCUCAACAUUAUGGCCAACGUUGGCGAACAUCCACACGUUGUAAGCUUGCUUGGAGCUUGUACGGUUAAUGGUCCUUUGUGGCUGGUUGUCAAGUUCGCUGAGAAUGGCUCUCUUAUCGAGUAUCUUCACUCUCAUCGUCCAGAAAAGAUCCACCGUUACGAGAAUAUUGCUAAGAAUACAGACAGCACAGGAAACAAGACACAAGAAAACGGACUAUCUCUCUUUGAGAAAGUUAAGCUAGCUUAUGGCAUUGCAAAAGGAAUGAACCAUUUAGUUACAAUGAAGUGUGUGCAUAGAGAUCUGGCAGCGCGCAAUGUCUUACUGGGUAAGAACAACAUACCAAUGGUGUCUGACUUUGGGUUGUCACGUGAUGUCUACGAAAGCGGUCAAUAUGAAAAGACAACAGGGGGUAAACUACCUGUCAAAUGGAUGGCAAUCGAAUCUUUGGAAGACUAUGUGUAUACAGUACAAAGUGACAUGUAAGUAUGUCAUAUAGAAUCCCUAGAAGACUAUGUGUAUACAGUACAAAGUGACAUGUAAGUAUGUCAUAUAGAAUCGGUCCCUAGAAGACUAUGUGUAUACAGUACAAAACGACAUUUAAGUAUGUCAUAUAGAAUCUUUAGAAGACUAUGUGUAUACAGUACAAAACGACAUGUAAGUAUGCCAUAUAGAAUCCAUAGAAGACCAUGUUUAUACAGUACAAAGUGAUUAUGACGUGUAGGCAUGUCAUAAAGAAGACUUAUUUUGUUAAUAUUAUGAUUUGGACGGUCAACUUACUUUAUUUGUUCUUUUAUCAUCUUAUCC